rnacentral:rRNA from 1 species
GUGGGGAAUCUUGCGCAAUGGGCGAAAGCCUGACGCAGCCAUGCCACGUGAAUGAUGAAGGUCUUAGGAUUGUAAAAUUCUUUCACCGGGGACGAUAAUGACGGUACCCGGAGAAGAAGCUCCGGCUAACUUCGUGCCAGCAGCCGCGGUAAUACGAAGGGGGCUAGCGUUGCUCGGAAUUACUGGGCGUAAAGGGCGCGUAGGCGGACAGCUUAGUCAGAGGUGAAAGCCCAGGGCUCAACCUUGGAAUUGCCUUUGAUACUGGCUGUCUUGAGUUUGGGAGAGGUGAGUGGAACUCCGAGUGUAGAGGUGAAAUUCGUAGAUAUUCGGAAGAACACCAGUGGCGAAGGCGACUCACUGGCCCAAUACUGACGCUGAGGUGCGAAAGCGUGGGGAGCAAACAGGAUUAGAAACCCUAGUAGUCC